rnacentral:rRNA from 1 species
UACAGGGGGUGCAAACGUUGCUCGGAAUCAUUGGGCGUAAAGCGCACGUAGGCGGUUCGUUAUGUCGGAUGUGAAAGCCCUUGGCUUAACCGAGGAAGUGCAUCCGAAACUGGCGAGCUAGAGUACGAAAGAGGAUCGCGGAAUUCCCGGUGUAGAGGUGAAAUUCGUAGAUAUUGGGAAGAACACCGGUGGCGAAGGCGGGUCUCUGGGCAGUAACUGACGCUGAGGAGCGAAAGCGUGGGGAGCAAACAGG